rfam:Ruminococcus sp. CAG:353 genomic scaffold, scf348
AAAACUGAUAGAGGCGCAGUAAAGAUCAGUAACCUGACAGAGGCUUCCGCUCCGAAUGUAUGUCAGGGGAAAGGCGAUGCUGCCGAAGCUCCGUCGUGAUGCGGUUUACGACCCUGCUGAGCAUAUGCCGAACAGGUAUAUGAUUGUCAUCAUGAUUGUAUGAUGGAGUGCUAUCUGACAC